AUGAACGCUGGCGGCGUGCUUAAUGCAUGCAAGUCGAACGAGAACCUCUCGAUAGGUAACUAUUGAGGGACUUCUAGUGGCGAACGGGUGAGUAACACGUGAGCAACCUGCCCCAAAGACCGGGAUAGCCCAUGGAAACGUGGAUUAAUACCGGAUGCCCUCACGGAACCGCAUGGUUCUGUGAGGAAAGGCUCCGGCGCUUUGGGAUGGGCUCGCGGCCUAUCAGCUAGUUGGUGAGGUAACGGCUCACCAAGGCACUGACGGGUAGCUGGUCUGAGAGGACGAUCAGCCACACUGGGACUGAGACACGGCCCAGACUCCUACGGGAGGCAGCAGCAGGGAAUAUUGCACAAUGGGCGCAAGCCUGAUGCAGCGACGCCGCGUGAGGGAUGAAGGCUUUCGGGUUGUAAACCUCUUUCAGUGGGGAAGAAGCGCAAGUGACGGUACCCACACAAGAAGGCCCGGCCAACUACGUG
rnacentral:rRNA from 1 species